CCUGAUGCAGCAACGCCGCGUGAGGGACGAAGGCCUUCGGGUUGUAAACCUCUUUUAGCAGGGAAGAAGCGAAAGUGACGGUACCUGCAGAAAAAGCACCGGCUAACUACGUGCCAGCAGCCGCGGUAAUACGUAGGGUGCAAGCGUUGUCCGGAAUUAUUGGGCGUAAAGAGCUCGUAGGCGGUUUGUCGCGUCUGCUGUGAAAACCCGAGGCUCAACCUCGGGCUUGCAGUGGGUACGGGCAGACUAGAGUGCGGUAGGGGANAUUGGAAUUCCUGGUGUAGCGGUGGAAUGCGCAUAUAUCAGGAGGAACACCGAUGGCGAAGGCANAUCUCUGGGCCGUAACUGACGCUGAGGAGCGAAAGCAUGGGGAGCAAACAGGCUUAGAUACCCUGGUAGUCCAUGCCGUAAACGUUGGGAACUAGAUGUGGGGACCAUUCCACGGUCUCCGUGUCGUAGCUAACGCAUUAAGUUCCCCGCCUGGGGAGUACGGCCGCAAGGCUAAAACUCAAAGGAAUUGACGGGGGCCCGCACAAGCGGCGGAGCAUGCGGAUUAAUUCGAUGCAACGCGAAGAACCUUACCAAGGCUUGACAUAUACCGGACACGGCCAGAGAUGGUCGCCCCGCAAGGUCGGUAUACAGGUGGUGCAUGGUUGUCGUCAGCUCGUGUCGUGAGAUGUUGGGUUAAGUCCCGCAACGAGCGCAACCCUCGUCCUAUGUUGCCAGCACGUGAUGGUGGGAACUCAUGGGAUACUGCCGGGCUCAACUCGGAAGAAGGUGGGGAUGAGGUCAAAUCAUCAUGCCCCUUAUGUCUUGGGCUUCACGCAUGCUACAAUGGCCGGUACAAUGGGGCUGCGA
rnacentral:rRNA from 1 species